rnacentral:RNase_P_RNA from 1 species
CAGGAAAGCCGGGUAAUCGCUUGGUACAAUUAUGUGCCGGGAGGAAAGUCCGGACACCAACAAGUACCGCGCUCCCCGAUUCGGUUCAGCCGGCGAAGGGGAGGCUUCCCGUCAGGAAUGGCGGGAUGACAGACAGUGCAACAGAAAACAAACCGCUUCAGCGCGGAGCGCUGAGAAAUUCCAAGCCACAAAUUCCAAUGACCAAAUAGUAAAUUAAACAUUGGAAUUUGAUUUUUGGUGCUUGGAGUUUUCAACGCUCCGCGUUGGAGUCAGGGUGAAAAGGUGAGGUAAGAGCUCACCGCCCCAAAGGCAACAAUGGGGGCACGGCAAACCUCGCGGGGUGCAAGUUCAUGCAGAUGGUAUACGCCACUUGUCGUGACGCCAUCGGGUGGAAUGCGCCAGAUAAAUGAUUACCCCCGACAGAAUCCGGCUUACAGGCUUUCCUGUUGA